UUAAGCGAGCGUUAGGGUGUAAAACCCACAGCGCGUAAUGAAAGUAAACGUAGGUGGGAAGCUUUAUAGCAGCACCAUCGACCGAUCUAAGUUCGCAAGGAUUUGAGUAUGAGUUUCAUUGGUCGGACCCGAAAGAAGGUGAACUAUUCCCGAAUAGGUCGAAGUCAGGUGAAAACCUGAUGGAAGACCGCAGCGGUUCUGACGUGCAAAUCGAUCGUCAAAUUUAGGAAUAGGGGCGAAAGACUAAUCGAACCUUCUAGUAGCUGGUUCCUGUCGAAGUUUCCCUCAGGAUAGCAGCAACGAUAAACAGUCUCAUGAGGUAGAGCAACGAUUAGAGGCCUUGGGGUUGAAACAAC
rnacentral:rRNA from 1 species